ensembl:snoRNA
CACCCCCUUUUCACUUUGCCAAUGGGACUUAUGUCUUUAUUGGUCAUUCAAAUGGGGCAAAGGAAAUAUCUUUUUAAAACUCAAGCAAGGAGUUCCCAUUGAGGCGCAGCAGAAAGGAAU